rnacentral:snRNA from 12 species
AGGCUUUGGCAGCCAAGUGGUAUGCCACAAUUGAUAUUGCCAAUUUCAGGGCAAGGCUCAUCCCUUGCCCUCCAGGUGUGCUGACCCCUGUGAUUUCCCAAAUGUGGGAAACUUGACUGCAUAAUUUGUGGAAACUUUUCCAGAAGAU